UCCAGUAUGGUGUAACGGCUAACAUUGUCGCCUUUCAUGAGAAGAUAUUCCUUAAUUGGAAAUUGAUCACGAGCGCGACGGCUCAGGGUUCGAUUCCCUGUACUGGAG